AUUGAACGCUGGCGGCAUGCUUUACACAUGCAAGUCGAACGGUAGCAGGCCUUCGGGUGCUGACGAGUGGCGAACGGGUGAGUAAUGCAUCGGAACGUACCCAGAGGUGGGGGAUAACGCAGCGAAAGCUGUGCUAAUACCGCAUGUGAUCUGAGGAUGAAAGCGGGGGACCGAGCAGCAAUGUUUGGCCUCGCGCCUUUGGAGCGGCCGAUGUCGGAUUAGCUAGUUGGUGGGGUAAAGGCCUACCAAGGCGACGAUCCGUAGCUGGUCUGAGAGGACGACCAGCCACACUGGGACUGAGACACGGCCCAGACUCCUACGGGAGGCAGCAGUGGGGAAUUUUGGACAAUGGGCGCAAGCCUGAUCCAGCAAUGCCGCGUGCGGGAAGAAGGCCUUCGGGCUGUAAACCGCUUUUGGCAGGAACGAAACGGUGUCCGCUAAUACCGGGCGCUAAUGACGGUACCUGCAGAAUAAGCACCGGCUAACUACGUG
rnacentral:rRNA from 1 species